rnacentral:tRNA from 1 species
CUUGAAUUGCACGGUGGCUACAAUGAUAGCUUGCGUGACUAUGUGAUUGCUAAAAUCAAGCAUUAUCAGUCGCUCGGUUCAACUGUUCAAGA